AGCAGCCGCGGUAAUUCCAGCUCCAAUAGCGUAUAUUAAAGUUGUUGCAGUUAAAAAGCUCGUAGUUGAAUUUCGGGAUCAGUACGCUGGUCGUGCCUUUGGUAUGUACUGGUGUCACUGAUUCCUCCCUUCUGAAGAACCGUUAUGCCAUUUAUUUGGUGUGGCGGGAAAUCAGGACUGUUACUUUGAAAAAUUAGAGUGUUUAAAGCAGGCUCGCGCUUGAAUACAUUAGCAUGGAAUAAUGAAAUAGGACGUUUGAUCUUAUUUUGUUGGUUUCUAGGAUCGACGUAAUGAUUAAUAGGGAUAGUUGGGGGCAUUAGUAUUCAAUUGUCAGAGGUGAAAUUCUUGGAUUUAUUGAAGACUAACUACUGCGAAAGCAUUUGCCAAGGAUGUUUUCAUUAAUCAAGAACGAAAGUUAGGGGAUCGAAGACGAUCAGAUACCGUCGUAGUCUUAACCAUAAACUAUGCCGACUAGGGAUCGGAUGAUGUUAAUUUUUAAUGACUCAUUCGGCGCCUUACG
rnacentral:rRNA from 1 species